UACGUAGGGGGCAAGCGUUGUCCGGAAUCAUUGGGCGUAAAGGGCGCGUAGGCGGCCUGAUCAGUCGGGGGUGAAAGCCUGUGGCUCAACCACAGAAUGGCCUUCGAUACUGUCAGGCUUGAGACCGGAAGAGGUAAGUGGAACUGCGAGUGUAGAGGUGAAAUUCGUAGAUAUUCGCAAGAACACCAGUGGCGAAGGCGGCUUACUGGUCCGGAUCUGACGCUGAGGCACGAAAGCGUGGGGAGCAAACAGG
rnacentral:rRNA from 1 species